rnacentral:rRNA from 1 species
UACAGAGGGGGCAAGCGUUGUUCGGAAUUACUGGGCGUAAAGGGCGCGUAGGCGGCCUUCUAAGUCGAACGUGAAAUCCCCGGGCUCAACCCGGGAACUGCGUCCGAUACUGGAAGGCUUGAAUCCGGGAGAGGGAUGCGGAAUUCCAGAUGUAGCGGUGAAAUGCGUAGAUAUCUGGAGGAACACCGGUGGCGAAGGCGGCAUCCUGGACCGACACUGACGCUGAGGAGCGAAAGCCAGGGGAGCAAACGGGG